CCACUUACCUGGACGGGGUCUAUGAGUGAUCAAGAAGACUCAUGGCCUAGAGUGUUGGACCCCAUUGCACUUUGGUGGUAGCAACACUUUAAGAUCUCCUCAAGUAGGAGAGUCUACGUCAUAAUUUGUGGUAGUGGGGGCCUGCGUUCGCGCGGCCCCUAU